CGUCGAAUUUUGUCCGUUACGUUUUCCACGCAAGAACAGACAUACGUGAUCAUAGGUGCGAACGGUGGCGUGACCUAAGUAGAGUGGGGGUCGUCUUAAACAUGAGACAAAGGAAUCAUCUAAAGUCAGUUAGUUCCUUGUGACACGUCGAACGUUACACAUUGAAUCGAAUCUAACACAUAACGUCUGUCUCAAGCUGCGAAGUGCGAUAGAUCUCGUUAUAAGCAAACCGCUAAACAAACCUUGACUGUUAUCUUUUUCGUUUUUAAUUGUUGAUCUUUGACUGAACUUAUUAUUUCGUUGUCUUUAUUAAACUUAUAUCAACCAACCCAGUAUAGUUGUUCAUAUACACUCAAACCUAACCACCUCUAUUCUCGUAAUAGAAAUAGGGGAUCAAUCAGUUCGUGGCGUCGAUUGUUUAAUCGUAACGAGAAUUUACGACUCUCGUUGACGCGUUAUCUAGCGAUCGCGUCUCUCCGCGAACGGUUGAAACAAAAGUAUAUCCACAGUAGAUAUGUGACAUAGAUAAGAGGCAUCCGCUAUUAGGAAAUAUUAUGUUCAGAUAAUAAAUCGUUCUUACAUUGGAAUAUUGGGAUAAUGCGGGAGGGAUAAUGGGGACUCUACUGUAUACAGUGUUACGAUCUGGUGUUGAUCUUCGAUGUUCGUAACCGUUAUGUGCAAUUCUAGAUGUCGAAUCUGGAGUUUCUCGAAUUAUAUCUAAAUCAAAACAGUAGUUCCUGCUACCAGAAAUAGUCGUUAAACUGUUUCGAUUAGCUUGAUUUUCGUUCGUUAAUGUUUGAAACAAUGGAAACGGCUGAAUGGAACAGUUUCCAAAACUUGUCGUACUCUUCUGAAGCGCGGGACUAUUUCGAAUAUCCCAAUAUGCCGUGCUCUUAGUAUCUUUAAGACAACUGAGUAAAAUAUAUUCGGAAACUUGUCGUUUCCUUUAAAGCGUGACACUAUUUUUAGAUUGCAAACUGCUGUUGUUGGACCGUUCGCGAAGAGACGCGAUUGCGGAGGAGUCAGGUCAAUGGGUGUCGUAAAUUCCUGUUACAAUUAGAUUAUCGACGCCACGAACUGAACGAUUCCCUAUUUCGGUUAGGAUAAUAGAGGUGAUUGAAUUAGUAUAACACUGAAUUAACAGGUUAUAAAAUACACUUUAUUCCAACAACUUGUCUCGCAGCGAGUAUAAAUGUUCGGAGAGACUCGCGUGGUAUGUUACGAUGUCGAAUUGUAAUGUCGUUUACAAUAAGGUUAAAAGUGUUCGGCUCGAAUAGUUACUAGCAAGACUACGAUGUUAAUAGUAUGAUUUAGCGAUUUAGCGAUUUAGCGACUAGGCGAUUAAUAAAGAGAUUUGACAACUUGGCAACUUGGCGACUAACUUUUGACUGACUAUCGGCUGUCGUGUUAUUACGGAAGGAAAGAACGUUAUGAGUGUGUCUAGAGUACGAAGAAAGCGAAUUCGCUUAUGGCACGUUUCAUUGGGAAAAAUGAGGGUAACGAUCAGCGAUGCCAAUUGAUUAGAAAAAACGUUAGUGGAUGAUAAUAGGUAGAACAACCAAGAAUCAUCAAUAGACCAAAGACACUUACGAGACUUCAGAGUUCUCAUUGUUAAGAUACUAAGAUUUAUGGUGACCCUUUAGCUUUAUUGAAGGUCUUGAGGAGUAAGGGUAGAUGGACAUCUGGCGACCAGACAAAGAGGGAUGGCUGCGGUUUAUAUCAUGCGACGUAACAGCUGUAUCCAUGAUGUUUUAAUUCGUUAAUAUAACCGUAUACGUAGCGUAAACUAGCGUAUCAAUACAAUUGAUAAAUAUAAUUUGAAUUUCGGCUUAACCGCUAUGUGCAGGAGUAAUAGCACGGAAAUGAUUAAUGUUUCCUUGGAAUAAAUAAAUACUUUCAAUAUCUUCAUUAUUGACAAUGAUAGUCAAUAAAUAAUUUUACUCGAGUAAAUGUGGUGCAAGACCGAAAUCGAAAAAGAAAGUGUUACAAUGUUUAGCUCCUCACCUUGCUUAUAUGUGUUGUCGAUCGCAGUUUUGGACUAUCGUACGAAGUUAGUCUAGUUGCUAGAUGAUUGACUAUAUUAAUUGUUGACGAUUGAUUUCUGUUUAAAUGCUUGGUUUCAUUCCUUGACGUUACUCAAAGACUAUAGUAAAGCAAUUCGCAGCUUCGCAAAGAUUACUGUUCUUCUGAAUUUGAUAUUAACUCUCGACCAAUUCUGUACUUGACUUAACUGACUCUUACUGACUGAAUGACCGAAUCCUUAAAAAAUUUUUAGCUGACUGACUACUGUCUCUAAGUGGCUACACUUAUUUAUAGUAAGACUAUCAUGGAUAAUUGUUAUGUAAUUAUUCAAUACUAGCGCGGAGUUGUGGUACGUGAUUAUUUCUGCGGGCGCUGCAUACUUUGGUUCAGCUGCUUUCCUUCCAGAAAUAUUAGGGUUGCAGCUGAUGUGGUUUUCGUGGAAGUAUUGUUCAAGUUUCCCUUUUUCCUUUACUAGUUGUACUCUACUAAACACCUGGUUACCUUGCUUAUACCGGUACUUGAUCCUUUGGCGCGUGCCAGUUGUUUGUCGCUGUUGAUGCUGUGUGAAAAGGGCAUAGCAGCUCAUCUUUCAUUGUCUGCUUAUUGUAUGGUGUAUUGUCAUAGGAAAAGCGCGUGCAAGGCGGUACGUGUCAGUGAACGCCUCAUUGUUCCUUGUUUCUAUUUCGAUAUUCUUAUAUUUUAAAUUUGUUCAAUAAUAAUGUUGUGUCUUGGUUUCUUGAUUUAUUGCGAUAUUUAAGUAUUUGGACGCGUCGUAUCUCUUAUUGCCUUUUUCUCUUAUUAUAGAUUCCUGUUUUUAAUUCCAUAUACCUAGACUUGUGGCUCGUGUUAGUCAUUAGUAACGGCGUAUUACGUUACGGCUCGUGUGGAGUGCGAGACCUCAAGGAACGAAUUCGAACAAAUGGUAAGCGCCAGCUUACAUCAUACAAAUCGUAGCAAAGAAAAUUAUGGAGAUUCGAAAUCACAAUCCAUCCUGCGUGAUGUUUUCUGAGAAAAAUUAUCGAUUAUAGAUUAAACCUGUUUACUUAUUGAAAUCUAUAACGCCUUAUAGCAAAUAUAAGUCCUUUUGCUUCCAUAAGUAAUUAAUAAAUAAGAGCACAUAUAAACAAUGAUUAUACAGAUUUCACAUAUGCACUGCAAUCGUCCUGUUCGCGGGUGCCCACAGAAAAAUCACGUACGCAUUAAGUAUUCUCGAGGUGUUACAUUUGUGGGUGAACACUGCUUCAUAUGAACCACGCACAUUUUCCACAUAAAUUACUGAUCGCUGCAAAUUACGAUAUUUACAUAUAUAGACAAAAGAUAAAAAAAUGAAAAAGCCUACGGGAACUAUAAGAAGAUUGUUUAAGCUUAAGAUCUCAGCUGUAACAAAUUUUGUACAUUAUUUUUAAAAUUUUUCCGCUUAUUAUUUGAUAAUUCAGUGUCAUUUAUUGGAACUGAAAGUGCGAACAUUCUGAAACAUGGAUACAAUCAAUUAAAAAACGAAUGAAGAUGGGAUCAAUAAACCUUCUACGCCGGUAGUGGGAUUCUUGUGACUGGAGCAACCGAUUUCGUUGGAAAAGGUCUCCUGGAAAACCUGAUCCGCAUGUGUCCGCGCAUCACUGUCAUUUUUAUACUACUUCGUCCAAAAACGGACGAAACGAUAGAACAACGAUUUAAGAAGCUGAUAGAUGAUCACGUUCUUGUCUCUUUCAAUAUUUAAGCAUGUCAGGAGCCAAAUUGAUUAAACUUCUUUUCUGGAAUUGAGUUGGUAUUUUUUCGUCUUCAGAUUCACGAUGACAUCAAAGCAAAACACCCCUCAGCUUUGAGCAGAGUUUAUCCCAUAAAAAGUGCCGUUAGUCUGCCAGAUUUAGAUCUUUCGCAAGAAGAUAGAAAUCUGUUGUUAGAGAAAGUAAAUGUAGUGUUUCACGUUGCGACCACUGUGAGAUUCAACGAGCCGUUACACGUAGCUGCUAAGGCAUCCCAUUAGCUUCGUCUACCACGAGCUUGAAACCUUCAGAGGUGAUCGAUAUGUGUGACAAAUUCGACAAAACGUCGAUCAACAAAAUAGAAAAAAAGACUUUAAAAACUUAUCCAAACACAUAUACAUUCAGUAAGAAUAUGUCAGAGCAGAUUAUAGCAAGCAAGUGCAGAGAUCUGCCAUUUGCGAUAGUACGGCCAAGCAUAAUUGGUGCCUCUUUGGAAGAGCCAUGUCCUGAUUGGAUACAGAAUAUUUCUGCAGCUACAGGUACCUUUUUGCUAAUCGGCAGAGGUGUGCAACAGCAGUAUGGUGCAGGAGAGAUACAAGAUUGGAUAUAUUGCCUGUCGAUUUCGUAGUCGAUACGAUAAUAUGUAUUGCAUGGCAUGUUACGUUGCAUCGUGAUCACGAAGUUAAAGUAUACAACUGCGCGAGUAACGCAUACCCUUUUAAGUAAUAUUUAUUGCGAUUUUUUACGAACUAAUGUAAUUCGAUUGUUAGAGUAUUCCAAAGUUUAUUUAAGAAACGUGGAUAAUGAAAGCACAAACAAAUGUAGAAUAUAAAAGUCCACUCUUGCUCCCAAUACUUCAAUUUUGGAAAAAAGUAAUAUAAAUAAUAUUUAUUGAAAUUUCAUAAUAUUUUCUGAGGUUUGGUCCGAUGGUAGAUGCUAUGGUAAAAUGUAGCAUAGAUACCUCACUGAACGAUACGCUAUGGUACCCCGGUUGUUCAGUCGUAGCUAAUAGAUAUAUUUGCAACGUUCUGAGCGUAAUUCCGCGCGUUUUACCUGCGUUCGUCAUAGAUAUAUUUUUAAGACUCCGAGGUUGUAAACCAAUAACUUCUCAGAAAUAGCAAUAAGCUGUUCUCAUCAUUUUUCAUUUUUUACCAUACACGAGUGAACUUUCCAAAGGGAUAACUGUUCCGACUUGGCGAGGAAGGUGAAAAUGUUACACGACCAUUUGCGAUAUGAUCAAACUAGAUUUCCGGGAUAUGGAUUGGGAGAAUUAUGGUGUAAUUUACCAGAUGGGAAUUAAGAAAUUUAUUCUGAAAGAAGAGUUUAAGUCAACAGCCCGACAACGAUUAUCAAGGUUGCACUGGAUACAUCAGAUAAUAAUAAUAAUUUUGCUAUGGAUAAUGUUAUAAUUAGUGUACUGACUAUUUGAAUGCUACUUUUUUCUCUUUGAACCAAGAACAAUGUAAAUAGAAUUUUAUAAAGAAGGGAUUCAUCAUUGCUUUCAUUUUGUCUUUCUACUCGUUUGAUUUCUAAAUAUAUUCAUUUAUGACAUUGCUUAA